rnacentral:rRNA from 1 species
CAGCCGCCGCGGGAAUACAGAGGGUGCAAGCGUUAAUCGGAAUUACUGGGCGUAAAGCGCGCGUAGGUGGUUCGCCAAGUCGGAUGUGAAAUCCCCGGGCUCAACCUGGGAACUGCAUCCAAAACUGGCGAGCUAGAGUAUGGUAGAGGGUGGUGGAAUUUCCUGUGUAGCGGUGAAAUGCGUAGAUAUAGGAAGGAACAUCAGUGGCGAAGGCGACCACCUGGACUGAUACUGACACUGAGGUGCGAAAGCGUGGGGAGCAAACAGGAUUAGAUACCCCAGUAGUCCCUGUCUCUUAUAA